rnacentral:rRNA from 1 species
GGCGCACGGGUGCGUAACGCGUGGGGAUCUACCAUAGGGUGCGGAAUAACUCAGAGAAAUUUGAGCUAAUACCGCAUAAUGUCUUCGGACCAAAGAUUUAUCGCCCUUUGAUGAACCCGCGUAAGAUUAGCUUGUUGGUGAGGUAAAGGCUCACCAAGGUGACGAUCUUUAGCUGGUCUGAGAGGAUGAUCAGCCACACUGGGACUGAGACACGGCCCAG